ACUAGCUAUGUGAACUUGGGCAAGUGACCUAAUCCUCUGCGUUUCAUCUCUAAAUUGGGGAGAAUAGAAGCAUCUAUUUCAUGUAGUAGCCAGGAUUAGAAGAGGGAGGAAUAACUGGGCACUGGAUAGAAUGUGAUGAAUGAAUAUUCUUAAUGAGAAGUGGAAAUAAUUUGUGGUUGAGAGCUAUGCCUCAGAUCAGAGUGACAGGAUACAUGGCUAGGCUAUAUUUUCCAGCAGAUUAAGAGCUGUAGCCCAAGACUCUGAAAUACGAAGAAAAAAGGAGAAGAUGACAGCAUAUCUUUUUAAAGAAAUAUUUUCCAGCCAAAUGGUGCAGCAGAGGACUUCCAGGAAUUUGUUCUUGUUCUCUAUCAAAGGUGAAGAGUUCAUAGCCUUCAAGGAAACAAGAAACCAUGGGAUGGAGUGAAGGAAGGUGGCCUGGAACCAGCCGCUGAGCCUCUCUGAGCCCCAGUUUCCUCAUCUCUAAAAUGGGGCUGAUCUCCUCUCCCUCAGAUUGUUGUUGCAGGAAUUGAAUGAGGUUCUUGGAGCCCCACU
rnacentral:lncRNA from 1 species